GUAAAAUUUGUUCUUUACUAAAUUAAAAUCAUGAAAACAUAUAAGAAAAUAUAUUACGCCAUAAAAAUUACUGUUAAGUUGUAAUUUUCCUGAUCGUUGAACAUAGAUAAGAUAAUAAAGAAAGGCAAAAUUAAUUAUCCACUAAAAUGAAUUUGAAAUUAUCUAGAGUGUCUCUGAUAAUCUAAG